rnacentral:rRNA from 1 species
AUUGAACGCUGGCGGCAUGCCUUACACAUGCAAGUCGAACGGUAACAGGUCUUCGGAUGCUGACGAGUGGCGAACGGGUGAGUAAUACAUCGGAACGUGCCUAGUAGUGGGGGAUAACUACUCGAAAGAGUGGCUAAUACCGCAUGAGAUCUACGGAUGAAAGCAGGGGAUCGCAAGACCUUGUGCUACUAGAGCGGCCGAUGACAGAUUAGGUAGUUGGUGGGAUAAAAGCUUACCAAGCCGACGAUCUGUAGCUUGUCUGAGAGGACGAUCAGCCAAACUGGGACUGAUACACGGCCCAGACUCCUACGGUAGGCAGCAGUGGGGAAUUUUGGACAAUGGGCGAAAGCCUGAUCCAGCAAUGCCGCGUGCAGGAUGAAGGCCUUCGGGUUGUAAACUGCUCUUGUACGGAACGAAAAGCCCCGGGUUAAUACCCUGGGGUCAUGACGGUACCGUAAGAAUAAGCGCCGGCUAACUCCGUGCCAGCAGCCGCAGUAA